GCCUCCGGAGCAGGCACGCGACCUGGUGGUCGCCAGCCCGCGAGCCUCCGCCCGACGCGACACUAGGCCGUCGCGGGUGGCUCCGAGGGAAAGCCCCGGCUGUGGGUGAAGACGGUUGAAAGGGUCUUUACCCUCAGGACUAGGGCUGUCCGCCAGGGAGACCGAAACGCGGACGUUCAAAAAAUAGGAGCGGCGUACGGAGCCCGAACCACACACACGCAGACCGUAAGGAAGCGUCUCGAACACCAAGUGCCCGAAACCCCAACGGUCCGUGCCCCACAGCCUUACCUGCCCCAGCCCCUGCCCAGGCUCGACAGUCGCUCAGAUCAAUGGAUCGCAGGCCCUGCUGUCGCUCUCUGGGGCAUUCGCACUAGCAGGAACUUUAUCAAGUCUCCCGGCGUCUGCGUUAAUUUCCUGGUUUUUACUCAAGGUCUUAGAGGUCCUGUUUUUCAAAUCCUCCAGGCUAGUGUCAGUCAAACCAAAACGCUGGGAGCCUCCCCCGGCCACCUUUCAUUCUUCCCCGCCUUCCUCACCGGCUGCUGGCAGUUUCCCACAGGGCAGCUAAUCGUGAGGUCUAGAAAGUGCUAAGAAACAGGUUAACAGCUAUGGAUUCAAAUGGCACAGUGACCACUUCAGGUAAUCGACAGGGGAUUAUAAUGUGGAAACCAAGGCAUGGACAUCACAGUUCUCUUCUCUGGAGCCAGGGAAAGAAGACAAAGAAGCUGUGUUCGUCAGCUCACCUUCUAUUGCAACUAAAAAAUGCAGGAUGUGGGCUGAACCGAAUUAGUUCACCAAAGGAUGGAAAGCACAGGCAGUAUCACAGGCCUGAUCUCAGUGAGAAGGUACAGGCAGGAAGACGAGGACUUCAAGGUCAUCCCAGGUUAUGUGACCUUGAAAUAACCUUGAGGCCAGCCUAAGGGCUGGAGGGGGUGGGUGGAAGAAAAUGUUUUGGCUUGAUAAAAUGCACUAACAAUCACUGUCCAUCACAGAAGUAAUUCUUUCUCCGUUAUCAGGAAUCUUUCACCCAUCAGAGUGUUUGGAGACAUUGAACUGCUGAUUGAGGCAGUUCGUUUGGGAGUAUUCUUUCAUUACAAGACCGUUUUUGUUGGUUUGCUUGCUUGCUUGUUUUUCGAUUUAUUUAUUUUCAUGGUAUGUACAUGUGUUUGCCUGAAUAUAUGUCUGUGCAACAGCUGAGCUCCUGGUGCCUUCAGAGGAUGGAGGAAGGUGUUGGAUCCCCUGGCACUACGGUUAAAGACUGGGACUGUACCAGGCAUUGG